rnacentral:rRNA from 1 species
GAUGAGCGCUGGCGGCGUGCCUAAUACAUGCAAGUCGAGCGAACGGACGAGAAGCUUGCUUCUCUGAUGUUAGUGGCGGACGGGUGAGUAACACGUUGAUAACCUACCUAUAAGACUGGGAUAACUUCGGGAAACCGGAGCUAAUACCGGAUGAUAUUUUGAACCGCAUGGUUCAAAAGUGAAAGACGGUCUUUCUGUCACUUAUAGAUGGAUCCGCGCUUCAUUAGCUAGUUGGUAAGGUAACGGCUUACCAAGGCAACGAUGCAUAGCCGACCUGAGAGGGUGAUCGGCCACACUGGAACUGAGACACGGUCCAGACUCCUACGGGAGGCAGCAGUAGGAAAUCUUACGCAAUGGGCGAAAGCCUGACGGAGCAACGCCGCGUGAGUGAUGAAGGUCUUCGGAUCGUAAAACUCUGUUAUUAGAGAAGAACAUAUGUGUAAGUAACUGUGCACAUCUUGACGGUACCUAAUCAGAAAGACACGGCUAACUACGUG